UACAGAGGUCUCAAGCGUUGUUCGGAAUCAUUGGGCGUAAAGGGUGCGUAGGCGGCGCGGUAAGUCGGGUGUGAAAUCCCGGGGCUUAACUCCGAAACUGCAUUCGAUACUGCCGUGCUUGAGGACUGGAGAGGAGACUGGAAUUUACGGUGUAGCGGUGAAAUGCGUAGAUAUCGUAAGGAAGACCAGUGGCGAAGGCGGGUCUCUGGACAGUUCCUGACGCUGAGGCACGAAGGUCAGGGGAGCAAACGGG
rnacentral:rRNA from 1 species